rnacentral:rRNA from 1 species
AACGAACGCUGGCGGCAUGCCUAACACAUGCAAGUCGAACGAGACCUUCGGGUCUAGUGGCGCACGGGUGCGUAACGCGUGGGAACCUGCCCUUAGGUUCGGAAUAACUCCCCGAAAGGGGUGCUAAUACCGGAUAAUUUCUUCUGACCAAAGAUUUAUCGCCUUUGGAUGGGCCCGCGUUGGAUUAGCUUGUUGGUAGGGUAAAAGCCUACCAAGGCGAGGAUCCAUAGCUGGUCUGAGAGGAUGAUCAGCCACACUGGGACUGAGACACGGCCCAGACUCCUACGGGAGGCAGCAGUGGGGAAUAUUGGACAAUGGGCGAAAGCCUGAACCAGCAAGGCCGCGAGAGUGAUGAAGGCCUUAGGGUUGUAAAGCUCUUUUACCCGGGAUGAUAAUGACAGUACCGGGAGAAUAAGCUCCGGCUAACUCCGUG